UACGAAGGGGGCUAGCGUUGUUCGGAAUUACUGGGCGUAAAGCGCACGUAGGCGGAUACUUAAGUCAGGGGUGAAAUCCCGGGGGCUCAACCCCGGAACUGCCUUUGAUACUGGGUAUCUCGAGUCCGGAAGAGGUGAAUGGAAUUCCGAGUGUAGAGGUGAAAUUCGUAGAUAUUCGGAGGAACACCAGUGGCGAAGGCGGCUCACUGGUCCGGUACUGACGCUGAGGUGCGAAAGCGAUGGGGAGCAACGGG
rnacentral:rRNA from 1 species